rnacentral:rRNA from 1 species
GAUGAACGCUGGCGGCGUGCCUAAUACAUGCAAGUCGAGCGAACAGACGAGGAUCUUGCUCCUCUGACGUUAGCGGCGGACGGGUGAGUCACACGUGGAUAACCUACCUAUAAGACUGGGAUAACUUCGGGAAACCGGAGCUAAUACCGGAUAAUAUAUUGAACCGCAUGGUUCAAUAGUGAAAGACGGUUUUGCUGUCACUUAUAGAUGGAUCCGCGCCGCAUUAGCUAGUUGGUAAGGUAACGGCUUACCAAGGCAACGAUGCGUAGCCGACCUGAGAGGGUGAUCGGCCACACUGGAACUGAGACACGGUCCAGACUCCUACGGGAGGCAGCAGUAGGGAAUCUUCCGCAAUGGGCGAAAGCCUGACGGAGCAACGCCGCGUGAGUGAUGAAGGUCUUCGGAUCGUAAAACUCUGUUAUUAGGGAAGAACAAAUGUGUAAGUAACUAUGCACGUCUUGACGGUACCUAAUCAGAAAGCCACGGCUAACUACGUG